ensembl:lncRNA
UUCCUGUGUUCCUGAGGUCUUCUGAAGAAUAGAAAGAAAGUUUGCCAAGCAUGUGUGAUACAGCAGAGCUAGGCUGCCAUCUGAAAGAAGACCAACUCACCUGCUCAGAAGGAGCCAUUCUCGCACACAUUGCAACUCUCUCUGAUGCUGAAUAUGUAGAUGCCAUGGAGUGAAUACACCAAACUCCUAGCAGUUUUAAACUCAGUAAUGUCAGGAUGCUUCCACAAAGACCCAAACCAUCAACUCAUCUGAGGUGGUCCUCACCUUUCUCACUGCCUUUCACUGGAGGUCCUCAGGCUCAACUCUGCUUGCAGGGUGCCUGCUGGACAAAAGUGCACCCUGAGGACAUGUCAGAGACUCAGCCAAGGCUGGCCAAGAAAAGCAAUGCUGAUCUGGAGGCCCCCUACUUAUCUGCACAGGAAGCUGAUCCUGAUGGUGUAUAUGCUGCCCUUUGUUCAGGAAAAGGGUUUGCAUGUUAGGUGUCUUUAUGUCUGGGCUUUCCGGAGGAAAAAGCCGAUGUGGAUGAUUUUGAAAUUCAAAAAAAAAACCAAAGUAAUGAAAAUAAUUAAAAAAUGGAAAAGGAU